rnacentral:rRNA from 1 species
UAGGGAAUCUUCCACAAUGGACGCAAGUCUGAUGGAGCAACGCCGCGUGAGUGAAGAAGGUCUUCGGAUCGUAAAGCUCUGUUGUUGGUGAAGAAGGAUAGAGGCAGUAACUGGUCUUUAUUUGACGGUAAUCAACCAGAAAGUCACGGCUAACUACGUGCCAGCAGCCGCGGUAAUACGUAGGUGGCAAGCGUUGUCCGGAUUUAUUGGGCGUAAAGCGAGCGCAGGCGGAAUGAUAAGUCUGAUGUGAAAGCCCACGGCUCAACCGUGGAACUGCAUCGGAAACUGUCAUUCUUGAGUGCAGAAGAGGAGAGUGGAACUCCAUGUGUAGCGGUGGAAUGCGUAGAUAUAUGGAAGAACACCAGUGGCGAAGGCGGCUCUCUGGUCUGCAACUGACGCUGAGGCUCGAAAGCAUGGGUAGCGAACAGGAUUAGAUACCCUGGUAGUCCAUGCCGUAAAACGAUGA